GAUGAACGCUGGCGGCGUGCCUUAUACAUGCAAGUCGAGCGGGAUGACACCCACGGCGUGCGGGUGAGUAACACGUAGGGGGUGUCCUUGACACAGGAAUAACCCUCCGAAAGGUGGGCUAAUACCUGAUGUGAUCGCAAGAUAAAAGGGUAGCCGCCAGGAUUACCGGACGAGAAGAGGCCUGCGGCCUAUCAGCUAGUUGGCGGGGUACAUGCCCACCAAGGCUAUGACGGGUAGCUGGUCAUAUGUGGAUGGUCAGUCACGUAGGGACUGAGGCACGGGCCCCACUCCUGCGGGAGGCGGCGGUAGGGUAUUUUGCUGGAUGGGCGCAAGCCUGACGCAGCGACGCCGCGUGCGGGAUGAAUGCCUUCUGGUCGUAACCCGCUUUUGUAAGGGACGGACUUUGACGGUACCUUAUGAAUAAGCGGCUGCUAACUCUGUG
rnacentral:rRNA from 1 species